AAAGUCGUAACAAGGUUUCCGUAGGUGAACCUGCGGAAGGAUCAUUAAAAAAUAUUUAUCCGGGAAUACGUUUCGUUUUCCCGGAUUUUAUUGUAUUCAAAUCCCACUCUUUAUAAAUAUAUUAAUUAUAUAAAACAAAAAAUAAAAAAGAAAACUUUCAACAACGGAUCUCUUGGCUCUC
rnacentral:misc_RNA from 1 species